rnacentral:rRNA from 1 species
AUGCAGUCGACGGCAGCACAGUAAGAGCUUGCUCUUAUGGGUGGCGAGUGGCGGACGGGUGAGGAAUACAUCGGAAUCUACUUUUUCGUGGGGGAUAACGUAGGGAAACUUACGCUAAUACCGCAUACGACCUUCGGGUGAAAGCAGGGGACCUUCGGGCCUUGCGCGAUUGAAUGAGCCGAUGUCGGAUUAGCUAGUUGGCGGGGUAAAGGCCCACCAAGGCGACGAUCCGUAGCUGGUCUGAGAGGAUGAUCAGCCACACUGGAACUGAGACACGGUCCAGACUCCUACGGGAGGCAGCAGUGGGGAAUAUUGGACAAUGGGCGCAAGCCUGAUCCAGCCAUACCGCGUGGGUGAAGAAGGCCUUCGGGUUGUAAAGCCCUUUUGUUGGGAAAGAAAAGCAGCGGGCUAAUACCUUGCUGUUCUGACGGUACCCAAAGAAUAAGCACCGGCUAACUUCGUGCCAGCAGCCGCGGUAAUACGAAGGGUGCAAGCGUUACUCGGAAUUACUGGGCGUAAAGCGUGCGUAGGUGGUUGUUUAAGUCUGUUGUGAAAGCCCUGGGCUCAACCUGGGAACUGCAGUGGAAACUGGAUGACUAGAGUGUGGUAGAGGGUAGCGGAAUUCCCGGUGUAGCGGUNAA